rnacentral:rRNA from 1 species
AACGUAGGUGGCAAGCGUUAUCCGGAUUUACUGGGCGUAAAGCGUGUGCAGGCGGGGGUACAAGUGGUGUAUGAAAUUUCCCAGCUUAACUGGGAAGGGUUAUGCCAGACUGUACUUCUGGAGUGCGAGAGAGGGGCGUGGAAUUCCGGGUGUAGUGGUGAAAUGCGUAGAGAUCCGGAGGAACCCAGAGGCGAAGGCGGCAACCUGGACAAGCACUGACACUCAACUGCGAAAGCGUGGGAGCAACAGGAU